GACGAACGCUGGCGGCGUGCUUAACACAUGCAAGUCGAGCGGUAAGGCCCUUUCGGGGGUACACGAGCGGCGAACGGGUGAGUAACACGUGGGUGACCUGCCCUCAGCUCUGGGAUAAGCCUGGGAAACCGGGUCUAAUACUGGAUAUGACUCCAUGACGCAUGUUGUGGGGUGGAAAGCCUUGUGCGGCUGAGGAUGGGCCCGCGGCCUAUCAGCUUGUUGGUGGGGUGANGGCCUACCAAGGCGACGACGGGUAGCCGGCCUGAGAGGGCGACCGGCCACACUGGGACUGAGACAUGGCCCAGACUCCUACGGGAGGGCAGCAGUGGGGAAUCUUGCGCAAUGGGCGAAAGCCUGACGCAGCGACGCCGCGUGAGGGAUGACGGCCU
rnacentral:rRNA from 1 species